rnacentral:rRNA from 1 species
GAUGAACGCUGGCGGAAUGCUUAACACAUCAGCAAUUGAUUGGUGGCAGACGGGUGAGUAACGCUUAAAGAACUUGCCUCACAGCUUGGGACAACAUUAGGAAACGAAUGCUACUACCUAAUACUGUGAGAGAGCUUUGCGUCACAUUAGCUAGUUGGAGAGGUAACGGCUCACCAAGGCGAGGAUGGGUAGCCGGCCUGAGAGGGUGAUCGGCCACAAGGGGAAUGAGAGACGGCAGUUACUACUACGGGAGGAUGCAGUAGGGAAUGAUGGACAAUGGACCAAAGGCUGUUACGGCAAUCCUGUGGGAAUGAUGAAGUUUUCGGAAUGUAAAGUGCUUUCAGUUUGGAAGCGGUACCAAAAGAAGAAGUGACGGCUAAAUACGUGCCAGCAGCCGCGGUAAUAC